rnacentral:rRNA from 1 species
GUGGGGAAUUUUGGACAAUGGGGGCAACCCUGAUCCAGCCAUGCCGCGUGCGGGAAGAAGGCCUUCGGGUUGUAAACCGCUUUUGUCCGGGAAGAAAAGGCACUCCCUAAUACGGGGUGUCCUUGACGGUACUGGAAGAAUAAGCACCGGCUAACUACGUGCCAGCAGCCGCGGUAAUACGUAGGGUGCGAGCGUUAAUCGGAAUUACUGGGCGUAAAGCGUGCGCAGGCGGUUCGUAAAGUCUGAUGUGAAAGCCCCGGGCUCAACCUGGGAAUGGCAUUGGAAACUAGCGAGCUUGAGUGUGGCAGAGGGGGGUGGAAUUCCACGUGUAGCAGUGAAAUGCGUAGAGAUGUGGAGGAACACCGAUGGCGAAGGCAGCCCCCUGGGCUAACACUGACGCUCAUGCACGAAAGCGUGGGGAGCAAACAGGAUUAGAAACCCCGGUAGUCC